CGCUGUGCCAUCUUUUUUCUUUUCUUCUGCCAUAGUCACGGUUUCGUUCUCACCUCGAGAAUAACAUUUUAACUUCUGAGCCUGAAAAGACGGAAGCCUCUUUGAAACAAGCUGCAUAAAGCUUACGUCAUCGCGAUAAGAAUGAAAAGAAUAAAUCCAAUAUUACCUGGUGCUGUUUCCGCUGGUGGGGCUGGAGUAGCUUGAGGGGUUGGUUCUGGAGCUGGAGCUGGCGCUGCUGGUGCUCCUGGAAUCAAAUCGACAUUAAAAUAUUUUGAAAAGGAUUAAGGAUGUUAGCGGGUGCUGCUGGGGGAGCUGCUCCUUCUGCUGGGGGAGCUGCAGGUGCUCCUUCCGCAGGAGGCGCUGCAGGUGCUCCUUCAGAGGGAGGUGCUGCAGGUGCUCCUUCUGCAGGAGGUGCUGCAGGUGCCGGUGUCCCUUCGGCGGGUGGCGCGGGUGUCCCCUCCGCGGGGGCCGGUGGGGCUCCUUCUGCUGGAGCAGGAGCUCCUUCAGCAGGCGUCGGUGCACCUAUUAGACAAUUGAACAGCUGUAUCAAAAUAGGCAAAAAUAAAAAAAAGUCGUUGUCAAACCAAAAUAUGCAACAUGUGCACUUUUUGAGAUUUUUACUUUUUUACUUUUUCGUAUAGUUUACAGCCCUAUUGUCUACUGUAUAAAAAAACUGUUAUGUGUCUUAAACUUUCAUAUUUAUGUAAUUUUUAAAAAUUCACCUUCAUAUAAAAUUUUAUACGAAAAUGUUUUUAAUACGCUUUUAUUAGCUUUAGACGUAUGUGUAUGUAUGUUUGUAACGGAAUCUUUGAACAUGAUUUUGACCCCUUUGUAAACGUCGGAUUUACUCGAAAUUUGGUAUACAUAUUAAGGAGCGAAGACAAUUCAACAUUUAAAAAAAAAUUGAAAAAAUUUAAAUUCAACUAAAAAAUGAAAAAUAAAUAAUAGUUAAAAAAAACUAACACAAUACGCUUUUAUAGAAAAUCCAACUAAAAAAUAGAAAAUAAAUUUUAAUAAAUUUGAAUUAACAAUAGUGUAAGAAAAAAAAAUUUUAUUGUAAAAAAGCGUGGGGUGCUUUUCAGGAUAUUAUCAAAUUAACCCUUCUACUCAUAUCUGUUCAUAAAAUAUUUAUAACUACUUAUACCAUGCACCCCACGCUUUUUUACAAUAAAAUCAUUUUUUCUUACACUAUUUUUAAUUCAAAUGUAUUAAAAUUUACUACUCGUUAAUUCAAAAUAAAAUUUUGGCACAUAGCAGAUUAUGAUUAUAUUUUUGUUUUGUUUAGUAGCUACAGCUUUAGUUUCACAAACAACGCAGGGAGAUUUCUAACUUAGGAUUUUUUUUUAAUUGUGAAUUUAGAUCAAAGCAUUUACUAACCUUCAGCUGGAGGUGCUGGGGCCCCAUCAGUGGGGGCUGGUGCUCCCUCUGUAGCCGGAGCGCCUUCCGUUGGAGCUCCCUCAGCCGGUGCUUCUGCACUACCCUCAGCAGGAGCAGCAGCAUCACCCUGUUGUCCUUCCUGUCACCCAACAAGAAACUUGUAACAGCUAUCAUAAGAAAAUCUUCUAGAAAUGCUUCUAUCAAUCUCUAAUCAUUAGUAUUAAAUAAAUAAUUGUUAGUAUCAAUAAGUGUUCGUAACACAGCGACGUAUUUUUAAAUAUAAGCAGCUAAGCAUGGCCUUAUUUCCAGUUUUGUUAAUUGUUGUCCAAUUUUAUUAGUUUUAUUAUGCAAUUGUUGUCAGAUUUGUGGUUAACUUUCUAUUGUUAGUAAUAUUUUGGCAACUACAUUAGACAUUAUUAAUUUUCUAACAUUAAAGUUUUUUUAUUAUAGCUAAAUUUUAUUUAAUAAGCCUGAAAAUAGUUAUCGUCCACUGAAUUGAUUGUAAAAUACAACUAAAAUGUUAACGCUUUUAGCUAUGAAGCUGCUGAAAUAAAACACAAUACGGACU